UGGGGAAUAUUGGACAAUGGGCGCAAGCCUGAUCCAGCCAUGCCGCGUGCAGGAUGAAGGCCUUCGGGUUGUAAACUGCUUUUGUACGGAACGAAAAGGUGCCUUCUAAUAAAGGGCGCUCAUGACGGUACCGUAAGAAUAAGCACCGGCUAACUACGUGCCAGCAGCCGCGGUAAUACGUAGGGUGCGAGCGUUAAUCGGAAUUACUGGGCGUAAAGCGUGCGCAGGCGGUUUUGUAAGACAGAGGUGAAAUCCCCGGGCUCAACCUGGGAACUGCCUUUGUGACUGCAAGGCUGGAGUGCGGCAGAGGGGGAUGGAAUUCCGCGUGUAGCAGUGAAAUGCGUAGAUAUGCGGAGGAACACCGAUGGCGAAGGCAAUCCCCUGGGCCUGCACUGACGCUCAUGCACGAAAGCGUGG
rnacentral:rRNA from 1 species